rnacentral:miRNA from 1 species
UUUUCCCGCCGAAAAAGCCUGC